ACCUGGAACUCCAGUAGUCCCAUGACAACUGGGACUUCCUGAUGCAACAUGAAAACAGAAAAGCAAAAUGAAAAGAUGAAAGUUAUUGAUGAAAGCAAUAAAAAGAGGAUAAGCAUAAGAACCAAUCCAGGAGAGCAAGACAGGAGAGUGAAUCGCCUGAGUUGCUGGAUUAACUAGCUUGGAACUGACCCAUGUGGGGAUUUCUUGUCCCCAAGUCAGAUUUGUGAGACAAAUAUCCUUACAUUUUGAUCUGUCCCCUACAGCUGAAACAUCCCAAUGGAACAGAGAGCAAUCUGAGAGGUGACAGAGACCAGUGGAGAGCCAGGGACGAAGACCAGAAGAGGAGUCAGGGAGGAGAAAGAGAACCAGAAAGGUCCAAAGAAGAGGCAUAGGACAGAGACUCCUGCCUCCCUUUGAACUCUCUGACCCAAAGGGUUUUAAGCAAACAAUCUGCCUUCUCUUCCAAGUAUUAAUCCAUUUCCAAACCUAGAUGCAAAUCAGUGAGGAUUUAAGAUUCAAGCUCUCAAGCUGUUGACACAUACAAAAUGAAAAUGAACAUCGUGGCAGGUGGUAGGAAAUGAACAAGCACAGGCAACCAGCAACUACAAAAAUGAGAUAACCUGGAGCUUUAGUAAUGCUGAAAUUAUCCACAACCCGGGAGGAUAUUCUUCUUAACAAAAAGCUACCGAUAAAGGGCCAAAUGGAACUGCUGAAAACUAGCCCAAUCUUGUGUCUGCCUUUCAAAUUAAACAAGAUACAGCAUCUGUAUUCAUGCAAAAAA